AUGCAUGGUAGUUACAGAGCAAUAUCUGACUACCAUUGACCAAUCAGAAUCGAGUAUUCCUGAACUAUAUACUCUAUUUAUUUUACUCUGGAAACAUUCUGAAUAUAUUAUGAAGUUUAGAUCAGUUAAUUAAUUCUGAUAAAAUGUAAUUGGUAGGGGUUACAUUUAUUAAGUAUCUGAUCUGAUCUUGAAGGUAUUGCUGAAAAUCUAGUAUUGUAGUUAUAAAAGUUUUCCAAUGAUUUGGAUGACAUACAUUCUGUUUUAUUCAUGAUUUUCAACCAUAAUAAUCAACAGAACAGCAAGUCCAUAUUGACUGUCCUUCAUUAGUUCGGAGUAUUGCAUUGAUUGAAUUCAGUGUGCUAAGAAUACAGCACCAUGGACAGCAACUCAAAGCACAUGACUACGGUGAGUACACAUUCAUUAAGUGUGAUCUGAAGAAUUCAAUAUCAAAAAGAUUGGUAUCAUUUAGCCUUAAAAAAUACAUUCUCAUAAUACUUAAUAAUCUUCUUGAGCCUCAUUUGAAACCUUUUAUGAUUAAGGUCAGAGAAAGUUAAAAAGGUAACAACAAAACUCCAUGUUGAAUGUACUUUAGUAAAUGACAAGUUUAUUUCUCGAACAAAAUGUACAAAAUAACAAGCAAAUGGACAGACCUGCCUACUCCCCAUCCCCCCACCUCCCCCAACCCUGUUUUUUUUUUUUUUUAUCUUUCCCAUUGAUAUGAACUUGAAGAUCUGGAACAUAUUUCUAGGGCAAGUCCGAUGGUCCAAGCCAAAACGCAUGUUUAUUUUUGUUUUCUUUUAAAGACAACACAUACCCAAUUCAGAGUCACUGAACAAUUAAAAAUGAAUAAAAACACCAUAUUUACAAUCUUGUCUGAACUUUUACAGCAUGCCAUCUAUAUAUUCAUACAGAAUUUUGCUUUUCAACAUAACUCCAUAUAGAAAAUGUAUUAGAAGAUCAAAUUAAGUCAGACUAACGGCGCGAGACAUCCAAAGUACAGCACUGCUUUUGUCUUUUUGAUUCAUUCUUUUGUUUCUAACCCCACAUUUUUUUAAUUCAGUCAUUCUGACAGAAAAAAAAUCUAUACUGUAUGGAAAGAACAUCUGUUUAGUAGGCCUCCACACAGGACAAACCUCUUAUUUACACCAAGUACAGUUUUUUGCAGCUUUAAGUCUCCUUUUGAUGUUAGAUUUCAGUGUUAUUACUGAAUUUCGAAAUCAUCUGAUUUUGGAUAUAUUCACCCAAAUGUCACAGCAUAUCUCCUCCAUGUAAAAGGCAAUGUUGCAGUUUCAUUUGGCAAUGAUUUGCUUUUGGUUACAGAGAAAAGCAAAUCCAACAUUGCUGUGUUGUCUUUCUCAAUGCUAAAUCUAUUUUUUGUUAUAGACGAUCAGCCACAACAUUAAAUCCACCUGCCUAAUAUUGUGUAGGUGGUUUAAAUGUUGUGGCUGAUCGGUGUAUGACUUUCAGUCAGACUGUAGAACCCUGAAUGAGUAGCAGUGGUAAAAGAAGCAGCUAUGGCACAGGGCAGAAUGUGUCACGUCUGAGAUACAGUUUCAUGGCUUACUCAGUGUGAUUUUUUUAACGUCUAAAAUUUACAAGAGAAUAAAAUUCAAGCAAUUUGAAGGAUUAUUUAUACAACUGGCCAUUAAUUUUCACAGAUGAAUUAGCAUGUUUUCAGCGUAUCGUACAUUGGUAUGAAGGCAUUUAAAAUAAAUUGCUGUGUUUGCAGUUUGUCACCUUGGUAGAGUAUUGCUGUACAGCACUAGUGAGUAAGUCUAACAAAAUGGAUCAUUUCUUUACAAAACUAUCCUGUGCUUUCCAAAUAUAUACAGCUAUGAAACCUAAAUCAGUCUCUGUUUAAAGUACGCUUUUGAUUUCUGUUGGUAUCAACAGAAAAAUUUAUCUCAAUUAUGGUGCAUCACAUGUUAACUUUACAUUUAUUCUGUAACAGACUUUGUUAGAGGAAAUGUCAUGGACUGCAAUUUCCUCAGGAAACCCACAAUUGCACUGAAAGAAGCAUAUCGAGGAUAAUGAGGCAUAUUUAUUCAAAUCAAAUCAAGUCUAAAUGCAUGAAAUUGGAUUCAAACUGUACACAGUUUUAAGCCAUGUGAAGUGGGAUUCCUAUCAUUUUCAAGUGUGCAAAAAUAUUCUAUAGACAUACAUUGGAAUAUGAACCAUUUUUGUUGGUGGUUUUAACUGUCACUUUAAAUCAAAUCUUUAAAAGUUGAAUACGUUUUUUGUUGUUUUUCUAUCCUUAUUGGGUAGGCUGCAAUUCUAUUCAUUUUUUUAUUUU